GACGAACGCUGGCGGCGUGCUUAACACAUGCAAGUCGAACGGAAAGACCCUGCUUUUGUGGGGUGCUCGAGUGGCGAACGGGUGAGUAACACGUGAGUAACCUGCCCUUGACUUUGGGAUAACUUCAGGAAACUGGGGCUAAUACCGGAUAGGAGCUCCUGCUGCAUGGUGGGGGUUGGAAAGUUUCGGCGGUUGGGGAUGGACUCGCGGCUUAUCAGCUUGUUGGUGGGGUAGUGGCUUACCAAGGCUUUGACGGGUAGCCGGCCUGAGAGGGUGACCGGCCACAUUGGGACUGGGAGACGGCCCAGACUCCUACGGGAGGCAGCAGUGGGGAAUAUUGCACAAUGGGCGGAAGCCUGAUGCAGCAACGCCGCGUGCGGGAUGACGGCCUUCGGGUUGUAAACCGCUUUCGCCUGUGACGAAGCGUGAGUGACGGUAAUGGGUAAAGAAGCACCGGCUAACUACGUG
rnacentral:rRNA from 1 species